UACGUAGGGGGCAAGCGUUGUCCGGAUUUAUUGGGCGUAAAGAGCGUGUAGGCGGCCUGAAAGGUCAGCUGUGAAAACUCGAGGCUCAACCUCGAGACGUCGGUUGAAACCAUCUGGCUAGAGUCCGGAAGAGGAGUGUGGAAUUCCCGGUGUAGCGGUGAAAUGCGCAGAUAUCGGGAAGAACACCCGUGGCGAAGGCGGCACUUUGGGACGGUACUGACGCUGAGACGCGAAAGCGUGGGGAGCGAACAGG
rnacentral:rRNA from 1 species